AGGGGUGGACGUGGGCUGCGGCUGGCUUGUGACCUCCCCGGGAUGUCCUUCCCCGAAGGGCUAGAGACACGAGUGGGGUCGUCGUUCAGGGACGCCCUGGGGAGCACAGAGGAGGGCCCCUCGCCCCUCCCCCGUCCCCAGUCUGGGGUCCUCCAGGGGACCCCGCCCGGGUCCACUCCGGGGCGGGGGGGGGCCCGCAGCGCCUGCCGGGUCUCUCUCAACCCUAAGCGCCUUGGAUUCCGACCGGCCAAGGGCAGAGCCUCCCCGCCGCACCCCCACGGAAGGGGGAGACCUCGGGUCUCUGCCAGAUCCCCCCCGCAAGCCCUGAGCCCCAGGCGCUCGCGGCAGUGCGCAGGCGCCGCCGCGAAGGCUGGCCCGAGAACUUUCCUCCCUGUGCGGGCACCUCUCCACGCGGGCAGGUGGCAGCCGCGCCGCUCCGGUCGCCGACGCUCCUCAGGGCCCCGCGGAGCCCCCUUGGCAGGACCACGCGGGCUGUGGUAUCCCCGGUGACCAAGGCCAUCUUCGUGGCUCUGUUCCUCUUGGCUGUGCUGCUCAUCCUCUACGUGAUCCUGUGGUACAUUUGCCGGGACGUGGACAACGACUACAUCUGAAGCAGAUUCCGAAGCAGAAGGAAGCCUCCCAGGGACGCGUGGGAGCCCUGCUCCCCCCCACCUCGUGAGGCGCUCAGGCAGGACUCACAAAGGGAUGCCUGCGAACCAGCUCCUCCAGCAGCCUGUCACCUCCCAGGAAACGGAGUCACAGCUGAUUGGCUACCUCCGAUGUGCCAGGCGGUGUGGCGGCCCUUGACACGAUUCAGGAAUGAAACCCCAUGUUUGCCGGGGUUGAUUUGGGAGCCGAAGCCUGCAGCCGACACUUCACUGCCACCUUGGCAACUCUAGGAGCACAUCCAGCACACCACAGCCCAUGGAGCUGCCCUAUUUUGCCAAGCUUCUCCCCGCAGUGACAGCUUUUCAGACUUGCCUUUGUGUCCGACGACGCUGACAGCUUCUGGUUGAGACUAUUGCAGAGUGUCGCUCUAUUUGAAUCUGUGUUGUGUUCUUCUCAUAAUGGAACUGUUGCUGCGAGUGUCAGAAAGGAGGACCAGAGACGUGACGUGCCCUCCCACCUUCAAGGGUGCGGGCAUCGACAGGACUCAUCACUGCGACCUUGACCUUCAGCACCUGGCUGAGACGAUGUAGGUCCAGCUUCUCCACGGAAUGGGAACGCCCCCUCCCUUUCUCGCGUCUGUUAUUGGGAAGGAAAUCCCUAGACUAGGUACCGAUCCCAGUAAGGACCUGAAGUUCUCCAGCACAAACAUUUGUCUCCUCUCCCCACGAUGUCUUUAUUCAGUCCUUUCUCCAUCUUGCUCUGGACGCAUGGAUACUGGUUUUAUGAUGUGGGUUGUAGCACCAUAUGCUCUUCUUUGGGUACUCACAUUGUUCCCGACUUGGCCACCGCAGCCCCUUCCAUGACUCCUUUGUCCCUUGGACGUGCCCCCAUCCUUGUUUUGUUUUAGCUUGUUUUUUGAGCAUUUCCGUGCUUGAUGGCACAACAAGCGG
rnacentral:lncRNA from 9 species